UACGUAGGUGGCAAGCGUUGUCCGGAUUUACUGGGCGUAAAGAGCGCGCAGGCGGUCGUUCAAGUCGCGUGUGAAAGCCCCCGGCUCAACUGGGGAGGGUCACGCGAUACUGAUCGACUGGAAGGCAGGAGAGGGUAGUGGAAUUCCCGGUGUAGUGGUGAAAUGCGUAGAUAUCGGGAGGAACACCAGUGGCGAAGGCGGCCUUCUGGACCAGUACUGACGCUCAUGCACGAAAGCGUGGGGAGCAAACAGG
rnacentral:rRNA from 1 species